GGGGAAUAUUGCGCAAUGGGGGAAACCCUGACGCAGCAAUACCGCGUGAGUGAAGAAGGUUUUCGGAUCGUAAAGCUCUGUUAUUGGGGAAGAAAAAAAGACGGUACCCAAGAAGAAAGUCCCGGCUAACUACGUGCCAGCAGCCGCGGUAAUACGUAGGGGACAAGCGUUGUCCGGAUUUACUGGGCGUAAAGGGCACGCAGGCGGUUUUUUAAGUCAGAAGUGAAAGCCCUGGGCUCAACCCGGGAAUUGCUUUUAAGACUGGCGAGCUUGAAUCCAGAAGAGGGUAGUGGAAUUCCAAGUGUAGAGGUGAAAUUCGUAGAUAUUUGGAAGAACACCAGUGGCGAAGGCGACUACCUGGUCUGGCAUUGACGCUCAUGUGCGAAAGCGUGGGGAGCAAACA
rnacentral:rRNA from 1 species